UACGUAGGGGGCGAGCGUUUUCCGGAAUGACUGGGCGUAAAGGGCGUGUAGGCGGCUUUAUAAGUCUGGAGUGAAAGUCCUGUUUUUAAGGUGGGAAUUGCUUUGGAUACUGUAGAGCUUGAGUGCGGAAGAGGUAAGUGGAAUUCCCAGUGUAGCGGUGAAAUGCGUAGAGAUUGGGAGGAACACCAGUGGCGAAGGCGACUUACUGGGCCGUAACUGACGCUGAGGCGCGAAAGCGUGGGGAG
rnacentral:rRNA from 1 species